rnacentral:rRNA from 1 species
UAAUCAACCUCUUGCUCUGGAAUACCCCGGGGAAACUCGGAUCAAUGCCAGAUAAAGUGCGGUGCUGUCGGGCGCCGUACCAAAGAUAGCUUCGGCCUUCGGCGAGAGACGAGUCCGCGGCCCAUUAGCUAGUUGGCGGGGUAAUGGCCCACCAAGGCUACGAUGGGUAGCUGGUCUGAGAGGAUGAUCAGCCACACUGGGACUGAGACACGGCCCAG